UAUAAGCAUUUAUACAGUGAAACUGCGAAUGGCUCAUUAAAUCAGUUAUCGUUUAUUUGAUAGUUCCUUUACUACAUGGUAUAACUGUGGUAAUUCUAGAGCUAAUACAUGCUUAAAAUCUCGACCCUUUGGAAGAGAUGUAUUUAUUAGAUAAAAAAUCAAUGUCUUCGGACUCUUUGAUGAUUCAUAAUAACUUUUCGAAUCGCAUGGCCUUGUGCUGGCGAUGGUUCAUUCAAAUUUCUGCCCUAUCAACUUUCGAUGGUAGGAUAGUGGCCUACCAUGGUUUCAACGGGUAACGGGGAAUAAGGGUUCGAUUCCGGAGAGGGAGCCUGAGAAACGGCUACCACAUCCAAGGAAGGCAGCAGGCGCGCAAAUUACCCAAUCCUAAUUCAGGGAGGUAGUGACAAUAAAUAACGAUACAGGGCCCAUUCGGGUCUUGUAAUUGGAAUGAGUACAAUGUAAAUACCUUAACGAGGAACAAUUGGAGGGCAAGUCUGGUGCCAGCAGCCGCGGUAAUUCCAGCUCCAAUAGCGUAUAUUAAAGUUGUUGCAGUUAAAAAGCUCGUAGUUGAACUUUGGGCCCGGUUGGCCGGUCCGAUUUUUUCGUGUACUGGAUUUCCAACGGGGCCUUUCCUUCUGGCUAACCUUGAGUCCUUGUGGCUCUUGGCGAACCAGGACUUUUACUUUGAAAAAAUUAGAGUGUUCAAAGCAGGCGUAUUGCUCGAAUAUAUUAGCAUGGAAUAAUAGAAUAGGACGUUUGGUUCUAUUUUGUUGGUUUCUAGGACCAUCGUAAUGAUUAAUAGGGACGGUCGGGGGCAUCAGUAUUCAAUUGUCAGAGGUGAAAUUCUUGGAUUUAUUGAAGACUAACUACUGCGAAAGCAUUUGCCAAGGACGUUUUCAUUAAUCAAGAACGAAAGUUAGGGGAUCGAAGAUGAUCAGAUACCGUCGUAGUCUUAACCAUAAACUAUGCCGACUAGGGAUCGGGUGGUGUUUUUUUAAUGACCCACUCGGCACCUUACGAGAAAUCAAAGUCUUUGGGUCUGGGGAG
rnacentral:rRNA from 1 species